rnacentral:rRNA from 1 species
AGUGAACGCUGGCUGCGUGCUUAACACAUGCAAGUCGAACGAGAACGGGUUAUAGCUUGCUAUAAUUGUCAGCUAAGUGGCGCACGGGUGAGUAAUGUAUAGGUAAUAUGCCUCUUACUAAGGGAUAACAAAUGGAAACGUUUGCUAAUACCUUAUACUCCUUAUUAACAGAAGUUAAUAAGGGAAAGAUUUAUUGGUAAGAGAUUAGCCUGUAUUGUAUCAGUUAGUUGGUGGGGUAAUGGCUUACCAAGACUAUGACACCUAACUGGUUUGAGAGGAUGAUCAGUCACACUGGAACUGAGACACGGUCCAGACUCCUACGGGAGGCAGCAGUGGGGAAUAUUGCACAAUGGACGGAAGUCUGAUGCAGCAACGCCGCGUGGAGGAUGACACAUUUCGGUGCGUAAACUCCUUUUAUAUGAGAAGAUAAUGACGGUAUUAUAUGAAUAAGCACCGGCUAACUCCGUGCCAGCCGCCGCCGUAA